rnacentral:misc_RNA from 1 species
AUGGGAGGAUGAUUCUACUAAAACCACCUUCCUACCGUGCUUUGUGCCUUCUCACCGUCGCUAUUGAUUUUGACAUUUGCCUGAUUUCUGUAUAGGUAAUUGGUUUUUAUGAGCAUUUCAGUUUUUUUUUUAUUUAUAACCAAUUUGUUUUAGAUAAUGCAAUUCCAAACAAAUUGAAUGGUUGAUGACCCCUGCAAAGUAGUACUAUUGAAUGAUUUCAAUGUAAUUAAGCUUUUGUCAUAGUUAUUCUGGAAUAGAAUGCAGUACUGGGGCAUAUUUUUAAGAGGAAAAGUUUUUUGUGGCAGAUAAAGAGCUGGCUAAUUGAGGAGCGGUGUGUUAUGGCCAAAUGCUGCUCUGCUGCAUCUAGCUUUGGAAGCUGCAAUGGUGGAGUUGUUGCUCUUAUUUUGUUGGUGAAUUCUGAUGGAUUAUCUCAAGUAUCAGAACUAGACUGCAAUUUUCUCAAAAAAAUAAAAAAAAGGGACUAGACUGCAAUUAUUGUGCCUUUCCUGUUACUGCAUUUGUAGCUUUGCUUUGGUUUUAUUUUGAAAUAUUCAGUUUUGGAACUUUUUUCAAUUUAUUCCCGUCUGGAAACUGUUUUGUGUUUCAUCUAUUUGUUUUCCUAUGUAGCUGAGAGGCCAAACCAGAUUUUUCAAUUAACUAUCAAUACAAUGCAAAUUGUAAGGA